rnacentral:rRNA from 1 species
GACGAACGCUGGCGGCGUGCUUAACACAUGCAAGUCGAACGGUAAGGCCCUUCGGGGUACACGAGUGGCGAACGGGUGAGUAACACGUGGGUGAUCUGCCCUGCACUUCGGGAUAAGCCUGGGAAACUGGGUCUAAUACCGGAUAGGACCACUGCCUGCAUGGGGGGUGGUGGAAAGCUUUUGCGGUGUGGGAUGGGCCCGGGGCCUAUCAGCUUGUUGGUGGGGUGAUGGCCUACCAAGGCGACGACGGGUAGCCGGCCUGAGAGGGUGACCGGCCACACUGGGACUGAGAUACGGCCCAGACUCCUACGGGAGGCAGCAGUGGGGAAUAUUGCACAAUAGGCGCAAGCCUGAUGCAGCGACGCCGCGUGAGGGAUGACGGCCUUCGGGUUGUAAACCUCUUUCAGCACCGACGAAGCGCAAGUGACGGUAGGUGCAGAAGAAGGACCGGCCAACUACGUGCCAGCCGCCGCUGUAA